UACAGAGGUCUCGAGCGUUGUUCGGAUUCAUUGGGCGUAAAGGGUGCGUAGGCGGCGCUGUAAGUCGGGUGUGAAAUCCUGGGGCUUAACCCCGGAACUGCAUUCGAUACUGCAGUGCUUGAGGACUGGAGAGGAGACUGGAAUUCAUGGUGUAGCAGUGAAAUGCGUAGAGAUCAUGAGGAAGACCAGUGGCGAAGGCGGGUCUCUGGACAGUUCCUGACACUGAGGCACGAAGGCCAGGGGAGCAAACGGG
rnacentral:rRNA from 1 species